AAACGGCCGCGUUAGCGUGAGCGUGCUAAGGUAGCGUAAUAAUUAGCCUUUUAAUUGAAGGCCAGUGAAUGGCAAGACUAGGAACACCUUUACUUUGCAUGUAGAAAAAACUUUUCAUCUAAGUGAAAAACCUUAGAUAAUAAAGGUAGACGAAAAGACCCCGCGGAACUUUACCUUCUCUUGUACUAUCAUACACCAAUUCUAAGCACUCAAGGUUUGAUUGGGGCAAUCUUGGAACCAACAAAACUUCCAAUCUCUCGAAUAAGCCUAUUUAAAACUUAUUAAGGACUAAAAAGAAGUUACCCCGGGGAUAACAGCGUAAUCCAAUUCGAGAGUACAUAUCGAAAGUUGGGUUUGCGACCUCGAUGUUGGCUUAAGGAUAUCCACAUAAGUGCAAC
rnacentral:rRNA from 1 species